GAUGAACGCUGGCGGCGUGCCUAAUACAUGCAAGUCGAGCGAACAGACGAGGAGCUUGCUCCUCUGACGUUAGCGGCGGACGGGUGAGUAACACGUGGAUAACCUACCUAUAAGACUGGGAUAACUUCGGGAAACCGGAGCUAAUACCGGAUAAUAUAUUGAACCGCAUGGUUCAAUAGUGAAAGACGGUUUUGCUGUCACUUAUAGAUGGAUCCGCGCCGCAUUAGCUAGUUGGUAAGGUAACAGCUUACCAAGGCAACGAUGCGUAGCCGACCUGAGAGGGUGAUCGGCCACACUGGAACUGGGACACGGUCCAGACUCCUACGGGAGGCAGCAGUAGGGAAUCUUCCGCAAUGGGCGAAAGCCUGACGGAGCAACGCCGCGUGAGUGAUGAAGGUCUUCGGAUCGUAAAACUCUGUUAUUAGGGAAGAACAAAUGUGCAAGUAACUAUGCACGUCUUGACGGUACCUAAUCAGAAAGCCACGGCUAACUACGU
rnacentral:rRNA from 1 species